GCAUGGAUGAAUUCUGCGUUACCUUGCUGUAGUUACUGCAGUCAGACACCAUGCUAAAGUGAAUCUCAACUGUGCUUUUGAUGACCUAUUUGUGUUUUGGCAUGUAGGCAGCACAGUGGCGUACACAU